AUUGAACGCUGGCGGCAGGCCUAACACAUGCAAGUCGAACGAGUGGCGGACGGGUGAGUAAUGUCUGGGAAACUGCCUGAUGGAGGGGGAUAACUCCUGGAAACGGUAGCUAAUACCGCAUACCAUCGGAUGUGCCCAGAUGGGAUUAGCUAUUAGGUGGGGUAACGGCUCACCUAGGCGACGAUCCCUAGCUGGUCUGAGCGGAUGACCAGCCACACUGGAACUGAGACACGGUCCAGACGCCUACGGGAGGAAGCAGUGGGGAAUAUUGCACAAGGGGCGCAAGCCUGAUGCAGCCAGGCCGCGUGUAUGAAGAAGGCCUUCGGGUUGUAAAGUACUUUCAGCGGGGAGGCGUUACCCGCAGAAGAAGCACCGGCUAACGCCGUGCCAGCAGCCUCGGUAAUUC
rnacentral:rRNA from 1 species